ensembl:lncRNA
UUCUGCUUCCUUUAAGUCCCACAGAGGAAACAUGGAUCACUCUCUGUUCUCUUCCCCUUAGGCUACUUUAAGGAAAACAACAACAACAACAACAACAACAACAACAACAGCAACAAACAAGGGGCUAUCUUUAUUUAGAAUGACUUAGAUAUAUGAAGUCAACAACUCACUGUGAAAAACUGACUCAUGCUCAAAAGAACAGUAUCUUUUAUUUCCUAUGAUUGUUCCACGGGGAAAAAACCUGCCUUUCCUUGCUGAUGGUGGUGAGGUAACAGCCAAGGAAACUUAAAUUUGCCAUUUGAAGGAGACACAAAAAUAUCUCCUGUGAGUAAAUGAUCUAUAUCAGAAUUGUGGAUUUCUCUCUCCUGCCUUUUCUCAGCCCAGAUGAUGUCUAGAUACAAAAGGAAGCUUUCAGAGAUAGAAGAAGCUGGACUCAGAUGUGUUUGAUGAGCUGACCUUCUGUUAACGGUCUUUGGGACUGAGCUGUCAUGUCUCAGAGAUUUGCUUCUUUCGAGCUGUCUCAUCAUUGCCUCAUAAACUAUUUUUCACUUUACUGAAGUUGAACUGUUGGGGCUACGAUUCUCUGGAUCAGUCCUCCUCUUACCCUCCAUCUAACUCUGGAAAUACUGGAUAUGGGGUUGGCACCUCAAAGCUUCCUUGUCGCUGUCUGGACCAACUCCCUAGAAAAGAACAUGUUGUUGAGCUCCCACUUCAGGACUCCUCACUCUUCCAAGCCAUGAGCUGCGAAGGAACCAGAACAGCUGGUUCCUGCCCCAGCCAACUGGGUUUAGGUCUUUUAGUCAGAGCUAUGUCUCCUCUCCAUUCAAAGGCCAAGUGCCCUCCUGGAUCAUCCAUCAUGUCAGCCAGGGGCAGAGAGUCAUGCAAUAUAGAGGAUGUUGGGACCACUUCUGUGUAUCCACUUCUGUAUCCAAGGAUACAGCCAAGGGGCAGGGCUUGGAAUUUCCAGCCUUCAGCAGCUAUUCCUGUAGGUACUAGCUGAUUUAUAAUAGGUAAUAGACACAAAUGAUAAAACCAGACACUUUCAGAGUUGGAAAGAAUCUUGUCUGUGAUCUAACCUAACUUUCUCAUUUUACAGAAAUAGAGAUGGAGGUCAGAGAUCUCACAGGCUCCCUCAAACAGAACUGCAUCUCAUCUCGAGCCUCCCAGCUCUGUGCCUACAUGCUGCCCCAGACCUCAGGCUGUCCACUGAUGUCAGCAUUGCCUGCACCGGGGUGACCCUCAUUUCUUUGUGCAUCUCCUUCAUCUCUGCCAGCUCUGGGUAUGGAGCUAGGAACAAGUGCUACUUUGUUGGACUGUAUCAGCUGGGAUCAACUUGCUGGACUCUUGUGACAGGGCUGAAAGUUCAGUGGAUGGACUGCUGUUUGGGAAAGUUGGUGAUAGGCCCACAGUAAUCCCAUCCAAGGGUCAUGUCAUCUCCAGCUCCUCCUUGCCUCAUAUCCCCAAAGUCUCCUCUUCUUCUUCCCUGAGUUCCUCCCCUUCUCACCCCAACACAAGAGCUUUUGUGAAAAGCUUAUGUUCCCUGACUAUAGCAGAAUUCUCUUUAAAAGAAAGCUUACCUUUCUAACUCCAAAAGCUUCAUGAGCUAUUUAACGGUAAUUAUAUUUAUUAUGGAUAAUUUUCUAUACAUUCAUCCAGUCUGGGGUGUAUGCCUUAUCCCCCUUUAUGGCUUGAUCAGAAAUUUAAGAUUUUCCUCCCAGCUCACUCUCCUCUCAUACGGAUAUUGUCUAAAAGGAAAUAUAUACAGUGUUCUUAAAUGAUGCUGUCACCUCUCACUCAAGGGAAGGAAAAACUGUUCCAG